rnacentral:misc_RNA from 1 species
GCUAAACUCCAUCGAGAACAUAUGUCAAGAUGAUCUCCUUCCACCAGACAGUCCAUGGACAUGCCCAGGAGAUCGUGUUUUUUUCGAUGCAUCAGUUAUCUGGGGUUUAGUCGGACCAAAAAGGAUUUUUGGAACUCUUGGAAACUACAGCUCCAUGAACUGGUUCUUCCUUGGAGGAGCAAUAGGACCUGUAAUAGUGUGGCUCUUGCAUAAAAUGUUUCCAACACAAUCAUGGAUUCCCCUGAUCAACCUUCCAGUUCUUCUGG